rnacentral:rRNA from 1 species
AGUGAACGCUGGCGGUAGGCCUAACACAUGCAAGUCGAACGGCAGCACAGUAAGAGCUUGCUCUUACGGGUGGCGAGUGGCGGACGGGUGAGGAAUACAUCGGAAUCUACUUUUUCGUGGGGGAUAACGUAGGGAAACUUACGCUAAUACCGCAUACGACCUACGGGUGAAAGCAGGUGAUCUUCGGACCUUGCGCGAUUGAAUGAGCCGAUGUCGGAUUAGCUAGUUGGCGGGGUAAAGGCCCACCAAGGCGACGAUCCGUAGCUGGUCUGGGCGGAUGAUCGGCCCCGCUGGAACUGGGAAACGGACCAGACUCCUACGGGAGUCGGAAGUGGGGAAUCUUGGACAAUGGGCGCAAGCCUGAUCCAGCCAUACCGCGUGGGUUAAGAAGGCCUUCGGGUUGUAAAGCCCUUUUGUUGGGAAAGAAAUCCCGCUGGUUAAUACCCGGUUGGGAUGACGGUACCCAAAGAAUAAGCACCGGCUAACUUCGUGCCAGCCGCCGCAGUAA